AUGGCAAAAUAUUGGUGGGGUAGUUCUCUUGAUAAGAGAUCCUUACAUUGGCUGUCUUGGGAUAAGUUAACUGAGCCUAAGAUCAAAGGAGGGAUGGGUUUCAGAGAUCCUCACCUAUUCAACUUGGCCAUGUUGGGCAAACAGGGAUGGCGCCUGUUAACACAUCCCGAUACUUUGUGUGCCCGAGUUCUGAAGGGCAAGUACUACCCACACACUGAUUUCUUGCAAGCAACAGCGCCUGCUCGUGCUUCGUCGACGUGGAAGGCGAUCGUGGCUGGUAGGAAAGCCUUGGAUAUUGGUCUGAUUCAUAGAGUUGGCGACGGCUCGUCAAUUUCCACAUGGAAUGAUCAAUGGAUUCCAAAUACAUCGACCCUGAAACCUGCUGGCCGGUUGGGUACUGCAGCUCUACCACGGGUUUCUGACUUGAUCGAUGAAUACACAGGUAAUUGCAACGUGGAGUUAGUCCGUCAAAAUUUUCUUCACCAUGAUGCCGAAGCUAUUUUGAAUAUUCCCACUAGUAGAAAAAGAGGCUUCCAUACGCCCCCAUUAGUCCGCAAAAUAAUCGAACCGCGACUAAAGGGGUCUUUAGUCGCGGUUCGGGAGGAGGCCCGCGACCAACUAUCUGGGCCCAGCGCGCGCUGGCGGACGGGAGGGGCUUUAGUCCCGGUUGGCCUGGCCAACCGGGACUAA
rnacentral:rRNA from 1 species